AGGAAGUGUUUGCCUGUGGAAUUCUGUCUCUCUCCCUCCAGUUCACGGUCUUAUCACAAAGAGGACAAGUAUGUAUUACGGGAGCUUUUUCUCUUUGUUUGUUCCCCUGAGGGUGUAAAAGAGUUCAGCUCGUUCUUUCACUAGAACUGCUGUAGAUCAGUGUGCGACAAGCAGCUCUCGGCUCGAUAAUGGAUUGCAAGGAUCAAAGAUGGAAACCUUUUAAACCUGAAAUCUCAGUGACUGUGAUGACAGGAAGUGACAUCAGCCAGGCCUUAUAUUGUUUCCUGCCCUCCUGAGCCCAGGCCUCUCUGCUUCCAGUUUUCUGUUGCAACAGCCGUUGACUCUUGUUGGGUUACACAGAUGCUGAUUGUCCAGCAUUACCUUGCCCAAGUGACCACGGACAAGCUUUAACCGUGAGUGUUGGAGACAUAUUUGACUGGCAGGCAGGAGCAUCAUCUGACUUCUACAUGCAAAUGCCUCCAGCGUAGGUCAUGAGAUAGUGACCGGGAGCAAGAAUCAUUCUCCUCUCGCUGCAGUCCUGCUGCCUGCCACCUUGCAUGAGAUUGGUUAACUCAGCACAGAGCACGGGUCAAGGCCCUGAAGUGGGAUAAUUGAAAUGUGUUCAUAUUUGUUGAUAUUAAAAUGUGCAUUAAUAGCUUUAGGAUAGACAAAUGUAGCUAUGAGCUCUUUCUAAGCAUUAUGGGAAAUGUAGCCAAUACUGUAGGCAUGAUGGGAUACUUGACCAAAGUGACUAUGGGGGUAUGGUCUUAGUGAUUAGCAAUUACUGCCUUAACAGCCUGUAUAAAAAGACUAUUCAUUAUUAUACAGAAGAAGGCGAUGAGGGGGAACUGAAGGCCAUACCCAAGGCUGAGGGUUGAGAUAAUGGGAAUAUCCGCUGCAGGAAUAGUAUGGUUAGUUAAGAAAUUAAUGAGACACAUUAUAAUGAAAUAUAGGAAGAUAAGGACAAUAAAUAUGUGCUGUAAACACUGUAGCUUUGAGAGAGGCUCCUUGGCUGGCUGAGGUUUAUCUCUCUCCCUUGCAAGUGCUUGAAUUAAACCUUUGCUUGCUUGAAUCUCUCAGGCUGCAAAGUGGUCAUUUUUUUUUUACCACAAUAGCCCAAUGCUGCUAACUGGACAUAGGUGAAGGAUCAAACUUGGGCAACUUACCUGAAAGGUGUGGUCCUCAUUCCACGCAGACACACAGACGCACACACACAGACAUUGUUGCAUUUCCCAGCGGAGCUGUCUGAGGAAAGGCAUAGGGUCACUUAAUUACCAAAUGUACUCAUGUAAAAGUCACUCUAAUGUAAAAGUUGACCCCAUGAUUUUUGGCCUAAAAAGCGUAAUUCUUCAUAUACUUUGUGUAAAAGUCGAGCCUAGUUUUUCAGGCAUCAAAGCCAAAGCGUAAUCCUGGAGAUGUUAAUGAUUCGAUGUAAUUGCCAAUGUAUAAAAACUAUUGAAAAUUAAUACUGGUAAUUAAAUGAGUAACUGUUAGAUAAUUAAUAUUGAUGAAAUGUAUGUAGUUUGUAAUG